rnacentral:rRNA from 1 species
GAUGAACGCUGGCGGCGUGCUUAACACAUGCAAGUCGAGCGGGCAAUUUAUCUAGCACUGAUUACUUCAAAUGGAAAUCAUAAGUGUAAUCAUGAAUUUCUACCUUUAAUAAAGAAAAAGAAAUUCAUGUACGCAAAUAGUAGAUAACACAUUUUAGUGAAGUGAUGAGUGCUGGAUAAAUUGCUAGCGGCGGACGGGUGCGUAACACGUGGGUAACCUGCCCCUAUCACUGGGAUAACACACUGAAAAGUGUGCUAAUACCAGAUAAUAUAAGCUUUUGGCAUCAUUAGCUUAUCAAAGAAUUUCGGAUAGGGAUGGGCCCGCGUCUGAUUAGCUAGUUGGUGAGGUAACGGCUCACCAAGGCAACGAUCAGUAGCCGACCUGAGAGGGUGAUCGGCCACACUGGAACUGAGACACGGUCCAG